rnacentral:rRNA from 1 species
ACCCCAUAGACUAGAGAAGCUGGAAUGCUCUCAAGUCCAAAGGUCCGCCGCCUUAGGAUGGGUCUGCGGUCGAUUAGGUUGUUGUUGGGGUAACGGCCCAACAAGCCCGUGAUCGAUACGGGUUGUGAGAGCAAGAGCCCGGAGAUGGAUUCUGAGACACGAAUCCAGGCCCUACGGGGCGCAGCAGGCGCGAAAACUUUACAAUGCGGGAAACCGUGAUAAGGGAACCCCGAGUGCCCGUAAAUUCGGGCUGUCCAUCAGCGUAAAUAACUGGUGAAGAAAGGGCCGGGCAAGACCGGUGCCAGCCGCCGCGGUAAUACCGGCGGCUCGAGUGGUGGCCACUAUUAUUGGGCUUAAAGCGUCCGUAGCUUGGUUGUUAAGUCUCUUGGGAAAUCUACCGGCUCAACCGGUAGGCGUUCAGGAGAUACUGGCAAUCUAGGGACCGGGAGAGGUGAGAGGUACUCCAGGGGUAGGAGUGAAAUCCUGUAAUCCUUGGGGGACCACCUGUGGCGAAGGCGUCUCACUAGAACGGCUCCGACAGUGAGGGACGAAAGCUGGGGGAGCAAACCGGAUUAGAUACCCGGGUAGUCCCAGCUGUAAACGAUGCGCGUUAGGUGUAUCGGUGACCACGAGUCACCGAGGUGCCGAAGGGAAACCGUGAAACGUGCCGCCUGGGAAGUACGGUCGCAAGGCUGAAACUUAA